AGCUCCAAUAGCGUAUAUUAAAGUUGUUGCAGUUAAAAAGCUCGUAGUUGGAUUUGUGGUUGAGCUGUGGGGUCCUUCGCAUUUGCGUCGGUACCUGGACGGUUUGGCCAUCCUUGGGUGGAAUCUGUGUGGCAUUAGGUUGUCGUGCAGGGGAUGCCCAUCGUUUACUGUGAAAAAAUUAGAGUGUUCAAAGCAGGCUUAUGCCGUUGAAUAUAUUAGCAUGGAAUAAUGAGAUAGGACCUAGGUACUAUUUUGUUGGUUUGCGCACCUGGGUAAUGAUUAAUAGGGACAGUUGGGGGUAUUCGUAUUCCAUUGUCAGAGGUGAAAUUCUUGGAUUUUUGGAAGACGAACUACUGCGAAAGCAUUUACCAAGGAUGUUUUCAUUAAUCAAGAACGAAAG
rnacentral:rRNA from 1 species